CUAAACACCAAAAUCCUAACCUCCCAAACUGAUUUUUGGAGCUAUUUAGAGUAAGCUGGAGUUUGGGAAACUCCUCUAAAGGUAAGAUUAUGCCUUUUUACCAAUUGAUUUUCAAUUUAAUCAGGUUAGCAUCGAUUUGGUCUAGCUUUAGUAAAAUUUUCCUCCCUUGAGUUUGCUGGGGAUUUGGAGCUAAGAUUUGGGCAACCCAGUAUCUAAGGAGAAGUUGGAGAUGAUCAACUCAUUUGUGAGCUGAAGGAUGAUUGGAAGCUGAGAAUUUAAGCAUGGUUGUAGGCACGCCACCGAUUGUCAUUUGAUGCCAUCCACUAGGAGGUUACUCUAGAUGAUGACCUUGAUUCUCGGCCUAUUGCCUCAGCAAGCGAGUGAUUUGAUUUUUUACUAACGGCUUAGCCUUGAGCGUGAUUUGACUCCAUCAGUUGGCCACCAUAUGUGAUUUGAUGAUGUCCAAGGGAAGACCACUUCACAAUUGUGAUUUCACUUAUAAAUAGGCCACAAGACUACGUAGCAAGGGUCAUCUGUUGACAGACCAAUUUUGGCAUCUAGUAAGUCCCCAUCUUGGCAUGUCUACUCCACUGAGUUUGUCAUGAGCUUUCACCUUUGGAGAUCAAUUUAGUUAUUU